rnacentral:pre_miRNA from 1 species
AGUGGAAUUUCUGGGUUAUAUGGUAACUAUAUGCUGACCUUUUGAAGAAAUUGUCAAACUAUUUUCCAAAGUGGCUGUACCAUUUUCCAUUCUCAUCAGCAAU